ACUGAGGCAGCUCAGCUGACAGAGCAUCUGCCUGGCAAGCGGAGUGUAGCCGGUUCGAUUCCGGCCCAAGGUG
rnacentral:tRNA from 1 species